UGUGUGUGUAGGUGUGUGUAGGUGUGUGUGUGUAGGUGUGUGUGUGUGUAGGUGUGUGUAGGUGUGUGUGUGUAGGUGUGUGUGUGUGUAGGUGUGUGUGUGUGUGUAGGUGUGUGUGUGUAGGUGUGUGUGUGUAGGUGUGUGUGUGUAGGUGUGUGUGUGUAGGUGUGUGUGUGUGUAGGUGUGUGUGUGUAGGUGUGUGUGUGUGUGUGUGUGAGUGUAGGUGUGUGUGUGUGUGUGUGUGUGUGUGUGUGUGUGUGUGUGUAGGUGUGUGUGUGUGUAGGUGUGUGUGUGUGUAGGUGUGUGUGUGUGUAGGUGUGUGUGUGAGUGUGUGUGUAGGUGUGUGUAGGUGUGUGUAGGUGUGUGUAGGUGUGUGUAGGUGUGUGUAG
ensembl:lncRNA